GACGAACGCUGGCGGCGUGCCUAACACAUGCAAGUCGAACGAAGUAAGUUGCUUCACCAAGUGUUGAAUAGCUACCCCCAAGCGCAUUUGCCAAAGGGUAAGCAAAAAGUACUAUCAAUUAAAUAAAAUGGUGAAACAAAAGAAUAGCGAAGAAGAAGCAAAUGCGCUUCACGCUAAUUCCAAGUACCAACACAAAACAAAUUCAAUGUUUGGUGAAGCAACUUGCUUAGUGGCGGACGGGUGAGUAACGCGUGAACAAUCUGCCCCGUACAAAGGGAUAGCCUCGGGAAACCGGGAUUAAAACCAUAUAACACUUAACUGCCGCAUGGUAGUGAAGUCAAAUCGAGUAAGAGGUAUGGGAUGAGUUCGCGUCUGAUUAGCUAGUUGGUGAGGUAAGGGCUCACCAAGGCGACGAUCAGUAGCCGGCCUGAGAGGGUGAACGGCCACACUGGAACUGAGACACGGUCCAGACUCCUACGGGAGGCAGCAGUGGGAAUAUUGCACAAUGGGCG
rnacentral:rRNA from 1 species